UCCGGACGGCUUCGCCCACCUGGCUCGUGCCUCCUUCUAAUGUCUGAGAAAGGAAAGCAAAGAACGUGCCGAAGUACCCAUUCCAGCCCAGGAGGGAAAAAACACUUUAUAAUCCUACGGACCAAACCGACUCGGAUUAUUUUCCAGUAGAACUUCACGCGGAGAUGUCGUUAAGCCGUCGAUGGGAGAAGCGUAAAGAUUUAUGAUGUUUUCAGUGCAUGCCAUAUAUCGUAAGAAGGUGUCCACGGCAGGCGAAUUGCCAGUAAUAGCAUGGACUAUUGAAUAUGCGAACGUGCUUUUGUACAGAACCCCCAGUGAGCGGCACCGGCAGCCCGAGUGACUAUGGAUAAUAUCUCUUAGUCCGGUAUAUUUAGUCCGGUCCGGUUAAUGGACAAAGCGCGGAAAGUCUCUCCGUAACCCGCGUGCGUUUCUUUCGUAUGAACUGUCGGUCUUCGGUAAUGCUGGUCAAUCCACAAGUCAAUUUAACUUAGACAGGUAGAAUAUUCCUUCGGGGAAAUGAAGUUGCCUUUUGAACUCCACCACUGUGGGGGACCUGUGUUUUCAUAAUCUUAAAGCUAUUUUACAGUUUGUUUCAAGAUUUUGGUCUCUGGAAAUAUCCAAGCAAUUCAGAGCUAUUACUCCUUAUGCUUCAGGCUAAGUAACAAGCCGAAGAUUUAAACAGGCACUGCGUCCGCUUGGAGUUGUCAAGAUCACGUCCCUGCAAAAACCAGUCAAAAUGUGUUUUCUUUCAUGAAUAUGCGCACAUUGCUUAAAGCGAGUAGGUCACCGUCGCGAGGAGAAAAUAAGUUUACGUCUUCCGCCAAGUCUUCUUCGCUGAGUGACGACGGGGACAGAGAGAGUGAUUCAUGCGAACAGAUUUCGCGGAGGAGAAAAACAUACGGGAGAGGACUGCGGCUGACAACCUGGAUUGGCAAAUUCUGAACUGGGGGCGUGCGAGGCGGUCCGCAUUCAUGCGUAUACUGCUGCUGCAUCGCUAGACGCGCAGUAUCACAGACCCGAAGCACCGCUGGUAGGCUAUAGCACACCAGAGAAGGCACGCCCGCCAAUUUGUGCAAACAUGCCCUUCAUGACGAGGCGGUAUUGAACAUAUUGGACCCUGCGUGAGAACUGCUGAGAAAAUUGCUCUAAUCGAUAUUUCCUCCGUAGGCUACCGGGGACAGAGACUACAGUGACUGCUACAUCUACAUAUUCGCUUUAAAUGUAAAACCGAAAUCAAUAGCCGUUAACGUAGGCUACAACUCUCGUUGGGAAAUGGCAAUAGCUGUAGUUUUUUAUUUUUAUAGAUUUUUUUAUUUUGAAUAAAUGCUACGGAAGAAAACCUUGUUGGAACAUCUGAUAGAUUGUUGUAUACAUAUUUAUUGAUUAGUUGAUAUGAUGUCUUGAUAUUUUAUGGACUUGGAAAGAAAACUUAAGCUGUUUGUUGGGCAGAUAUUCUACAGUCCGACAAAGGUAGCACGUUUGGGGGGGGGGGGGGGGUUGGUUGGCCAAGGCUGUUAGAGUUAAGAUCUAACUCCAAACAGAUUUAAAUAGCAGUAAUCAAUCAUGAUCAUGAGCAUAAUCGUUAUCGUGAGGUAUCAAUCCGACAUAAAUUUAAUCACAGUCUCCGUCGUUUUACGGUUUUCCCGUUGUGUCACAGAUUGGUGAAGUGUUUAUUUCCGAUUGAGGAAAGUCAAUGCAACCGACGAAAAGAAGGAGGCACUCUCAUUCCUUAUACUCGCAGCGUCUUCAUUCCAAUUAUUAACAUUUUGAAGGAAAAGCAAUGAUUUUGUGUUUUCUACACCGCAAAUAAAGUAUGUUGUGGCUCAUAGGCAGUAAUC